rnacentral:rRNA from 1 species
CCUACGAGGGGCUGCAGUGGGGAAUAUUGGACAAUGGGGGGAACCCUGAUCCAGCCAUGCCGCGUGUGUGAAGAAGGCCCUCGGGUUGUAAAGCACUUUCAGUGAGGAAGAAAGCCUGGUGGUUAAUACCCAUCAGGAAAGACAUCACUCACAGAAGAAGCACCGGCUAACUCCGUGCCAGCAGCCGCGGUAAUACGGAGGGUGCGAGCGUUAAUCGGAAUUACUGGGCGUAAAGCGCGCGUAGGUGGCUUGAUAAGCCGGUUGUGAAAGCCCCGGGCUCAACCUGGGAACGGCAUCCGGAACUGUCAAGCUAGAGUGCAGGAGAGGAAGGUAGAAUUCCCGGUGUAGCGGUGAAAUGCGUAGAGAUCGGGAGGAAUACCAGUGGCGAAGGCGGCCUUCUGGACUGACACUGACACUGAGGUGCGAAAGCGUGGGUAGCAAACAGGAUUAGAUACCCUAGUAGUC